UGAGGUGAAUACUUAGCUAAGGCAAGUUC
rnacentral:piRNA from 1 species